rnacentral:rRNA from 1 species
GAUAAUCAAAUCUACAUGGAUACUGUGGUAAUUCUAGAGCUAAUACAUGCUGUCAAACCUGACUUCUGGAAAGGUUGUAUUUAUUAGAUAUCAAACCAUCAUGGUGAUGAUUCAUAGUAACUGAUCGAAUCGUAGUCCGCUACGAUAAAUCAUUCAAGUUUCUGCCCUAUCAGCUUUCGAUGGUAGCGUAUUGGACUACCAUGGCAGUCACGGGUAACGGAGAAUUAGGGUUCGAUUCCGGAGAGGGAGCCUGAGAAACGGCUACCACAUCUACGGAAGGCAGCAGGCGCGUAAAUUACCCAAUCCCGAUUCGGGGAGGUAGUGACAAGAAAUAACAACUCGGGCGGCGCAAGCCGUUGCGAGAUUGCAAUGGGUACAAUUUAAAACACUUAACGAGUAACAAUUGGAGGGCAAGUCUGGUGCCAGCCAGCCCGCGGUAAUUCCAGCUCCAAUAGCGUAUAUUAAAGUUGGUUGCA